CCAUAAGCCACGCCCCCCUUAGCAACGCCCUAGCAACUCGAACACCUCCGUCAAAAUCAGCGCGGGAAGGGCCGUACCGACUGCCGCCGCCAGAAUGUCGGAUUUGCAGCCCAACUUUACGGUCGAUUUUUCGGCAGCGAAAAACUCUUCCAGGAGAC